GGGUUGUGAGGUUAAGCGACUAAGCGUACACGGUGGAUGCCCUGGCAGUCAGAGGCGAUGAAGGGCGUGCUAAUCUGCGAUAAGCGCCGGUAAGGUGAUAUGAACCGUUAUAACCGGCGAUACCCGAAUGGGGAAACCCAGUGUGAUUCGUCACACUAUCAUUAACUGAAUCCAUAGGUUAAUGAGGCGAACCGGGGGAACUGAAACAUCUAAGUACCCCGAGGAAAAGAAAUCAACCGAGAUUCCCCCAGUAGCGGCGAGCGAACGGGGAGGAGCCCAGAGCCUGAAUCAGCAUGUGUGUUAGUGGAAGCGUCUGGAAAGGCGCGCGAUACAGGGUGACAGCCCCGUACACAAAAGCGCAUGUGCUGUGAGCUCGAUGAGUAGGGCGGGACACGUGGUAUCCUGUCUGAAUAUGGGGGGACCAUCCUCCAAGGCUAAAUACUCCUGACUGACCGAUAGUGAACCAGUACCGUGAGGGAAAGGCGAAAAGAACCCCGGCGAGGGGAGUGAAAAAGAACCUGAAACCGUGUACGUACAAGCAGUGGGAGCACCCUUUGGGUGUGACUGCGUACCUUUUGUAUAAUGGGUCAGCGACUUAUAUUCUGUAGCAAGGUUAACCGAAUAGGGGAGCCGGAGGGAAACCGAGUCUUAACCGGGCGUUAAGUUGCAGGGUAUAGACCCGAAACCCGGUGAUCUAGCCAUGGGCAGGUUGAAGGUUGGGUAACAC
rnacentral:rRNA from 1 species